ACUCCUACGGGAGGCAGCAGUGAGGAAUAUUGGGCAAUGGAGGCAACUCUGACCCAGCCAUGCCGCGUGAGUGAAGAAGGUUUUCGGAUUGUAAAGCUCUUUCGGAUGUGACGAUGAUGACGGUAGCAUCUAAAGAAGCCCCGGCUAACUUCGUGCCAGCAGCCGCGGUAAUACGAAGGGGGCGAGCGUUGUUCGGAAUUACUGGGCGUAAAGGGUGUGUAGGCGGUUAUGUAAGAUAGCGGUGAAAUCCCGGGGCUUAACCUCGGAAUAGCCGUUAUAACUAUGUAGCUAGAGUUAUGGAGAGGAUAGCGGAAUACCCAGUGUAGAGGUGAAAUUCGUAGAUAUUGGGUAGAACACCGGUGGCGAAGGCGGCUAUCUGGCCAUAUACUGACGCUGAGGCACGAAAGCAUGGGGAUCAAACAGGAUUAGAUACCCUGGUAGUCCAUGCUGUAAACGAUGAAUGCUGGUUGUCGGCUUUAGGGUCGGUGACGAAGUUAACGCGAUAAGCAUUCCGCCUGGGGAGUACGGUCGCAAGAUUAAAACUCAAAGGAAUUGACGGGGACCCGCACAAGCGGUGGAGCAUGUGGUUUAAUUCGAUGCAACGCGAAGAACCUUACCAACUCUUGACAUCCUUAUCGGGGGGCGCAGAGAUGAGCCCUUUCAGUUAGGCUGGAUAAGUGACAGAUGCUGCAUGGCUGUCGUCAGCUCGUGUCGUGAGAUGUUGGGUUAAGUCCCGCAACGAGCGCAACCCCUGCUAUCAGUUGCCAGCGAGUAAAGUUGGGCACUCUGAUAGGACUGCCGGUGACAAGCCGGAGGAAGGUGGGGAUGAUGUCAAGUCAUCAUGGCUCUUACGAGUUGGGCUACACACGUGCUACAAUGG
rnacentral:rRNA from 1 species